GUUUUUAUAGUUGAAUACAACGUUGAUUUUUCGGGUCAGUAGUCUUGGUUAAAGUCCAUGUAAAAAUA
rnacentral:tRNA from 1 species